CCUACGGGUGGCAGCAGUGGGGGAUAUUGCACAAUGGGGGAAACCCUGAUGCAGCGACGCCGCGUGAGUGAAGAAGUAUUUCGGUAUGUAAAGCUCUAUCAGCAGGGAAGAAAAUGACAGUACCUGACCAAGAAGCCCCGGCUAAAUACGUGACAGCAGCCGCGGUAAUACGUAGGGGGAAAGCGUUAUCCGGAUUUAGUGGGUUUAAAGGGUGCGUAGGCGGAAUAUCAAGUCAGCGGUAAAAAUUCGGGGCUCCACCCCGUCGUGCCGUUGACACUGAUGUUCUUGAGUGGGCGAGAAGGAUGCGGAAUGCGUGGUGUAGCGGUGAAAUGCAUAGAUAUCACGCAGAACUCCGAUUGCGAAGGCAGCAUACCGGCGCCCAACUGACGCUGAAGCACGAAAGCGUGGGUAUCGAACAGGAUUAGAUACCCGAGUAGUC
rnacentral:rRNA from 1 species